GGUUUGUUAAGUCAAGAUGUGGAAAUCCCCGGGCUCACCUGGGAACUGCAUUUGAAACUGGCAAGCUAGAGUCUCGUAGAGGGGGGUAGAAUUCCAGGUGUAGCGGUGAAAUGCGUAGAGAUCUGGAGGAAUACCGGUGGCGAAGGCGGCCCCCUGGACGAAGACUGACGCUCAGGUGCGAAAGCGUGGGGAGCAAACAGGAUUAGAUACCCUGGUAGUCCACGCUGUAAACGAUGUCGAUUUGGAGGUUGUGCCCUUGAGGCGUGGCUUCCGGAGCUAACGCGUUAAAUCGACCGCCUGGGGAGUACGGCCGCAAGGUUAAAACUCAAAUGAAUUGACGGGGGCCCGCACAAGCGGUGGAGCAUGUGGUUUAAUUCGAUGCAACGCGAAGAACCUUACCUACUCUUGACAUCCAGAGAACUUUCCAGAGAUGGAUUGGUGCCUUCGGGAACUCUGAGACAGGUGCUGCAUGGCUGUCGUCAGCUCGUGUUGUGAAAUGUUGGGUUAAGUCCCGCAACGAGCGCAACCCUUAUCCUUUGUUGCCAGCGGUUCGGCCGGGAACUCAAAGGAGACUGCCAGUGAUAAACUGGAGGAAGGUGGGGGAUGACGUCAAGUCAUCAUGGCCCUUACGAGUAGGGCUACACACGUGCUACAUGGCGUAUACAAAGAGAAGCGACCUCGCGAGAGCAAGCGGACCUCAUAAAGUAUGUCGUA
rnacentral:rRNA from 1 species